rnacentral:snoRNA from 1 species
AAUCCAUGGUGAGGACACUUUAGCGUUAGGUCCUUGUAUCUCUCCCAUGCAUCAUAAAGAGUUUCUAAGUCCAUUUGCACAAACAAAGAGAUAUCAUUACGUAAUU